rnacentral:misc_RNA from 1 species
CUGGACCGGUCAUCGCCUUGGUCAAGUCGAAGAUCUUGAGCGAGAUAUGGCCGAGGAUGAUCACCGCGCUCAGCGUGAUCGGCUGGAGCAGCGGCAGAAUAAUCCUGAGGAAGACCUGCCACUCGCUUGCACCGUCUACGCGAGCGGCCUCGCGGAUCUCCUCGGGGAUGCCGCGCAGGCCGGCCAGGUACAUCGCCAUCACAUAGCCCGACAUCUGCCAGACCGCAGCCGGCACCACCGCCAGAAUACCGAUCUGCGGAUUGGUGAACCAACCCGAUUUGAGGAAACCUAACCCAAUGCCGUCAAAUAGCAGAUUGAUGCCCGACGAAGGCGACUCGAGCCAGCGCCAGGCCACACCGGUGACGAUGAACGAGAUCGCCAAGGGGAACAUGAAGAUGUU